GUUACGAUGCCGGAGUGGUCUAACGGGCAAGUCCAUAUAACUUGAUUUCGUCGGGUCGAAUCCGACUCGUAGCA
rnacentral:tRNA from 1 species